rnacentral:rRNA from 1 species
AGGGUUUGAUCAUGGCUCAGAACGUACGCUGGCGGCACGCCUAAUACAUGCAAGUCGAACGAAGUAGCAAUACUUAGUGGCAGACGGGUGAGUAACAUGUGGGUAUCUUCCCUUUGGUGAGGAAUAACACGAGGAAACUUGUGCUAAUACCUCAUAAGUCUUUACAGAGAAAGCUUUAUGCGCCAUUGGAUGAGCCUGCACUUGAUUAGUUUGUUGGUGGGGUAAUGGCCUACCAAGACAAUGAUCAAUAGCUGAUUUGAGAGGAUGAUCAGCCACAUUGGGACUGAGACACGGCCCAAACUCCUACGGGAGGCAGCAGUAGGGAAUCUUGCACAAUGGAGGAAACUCUGAUGCAGCGAUGCCGCGUGAGUGAAGAAGGCCUUUGGGUUGUAAAGCUCUUUCGUCGGGGAAGAAAAUGACUGUACCCGAAUAAGAAGGUCCGGCUAACUUCGUGCCAGCAGCCGCGGUAAUACGAAGGGACCUAGCGUAGUUCGGAAUUACUGGGCUUAAAGAGUUCGUAGGUGGUUAAAAAAGUUGAUGGUGAAAUCCCAGAGCUUAACUCUGGAACUGCCAUCAAAACUUUUUAGCUAGAGUAUGAUAGAGGAAAGCAGAAUUUCUAGUGUAGAGGUGAAAUUCGUAGAUAUUAGAAAGAAUACCAAUUGCGAAGGCAGCUUUCUGGAUCAUUACUGA